AUUGAACGCUGGCGGCAUGCCUUACACAUGCAAGUCGAACGGUAACGGGCCUUCGGGUGCCGACAAGUGGCGAACGGGUGAGUAAUGUAUCGGAACGUACCUUUCAGUGGGGGAUAACGUAGCGAAAGUUACGCUAAUACCGCAUAUUCUGUGAGCAGGAAAGCAGGGGAUCGCAAGACCUUGCGCUGAUUGAGCGGCCGAUAUCAGAUUAGCUAGUUGGUGAGGUAAAGGCUCACCAAGGCGACGAUCUGUAGCGGGUCUGAGAGGAUGUUCCGCCACACUGGAACUGAGACACGGUCCAGACUCCUACGGGAGGCAGCAGUGGGGAAUUUUGGACAAUGGGGGCAACCCUGAUCCAGCCAUGCCGCGUGAGUGAAGAAGGCCUUCGGGUUGUAAAGCUCUUUCGGCCGGGAAGAAAUCGUAUCAGCUAAUACCUGGUGCGGAUGACGGUACCGGCAUAAGAAGCACCGGCUAACUACGUGCCAGCCGCCGCCGUAAGAC
rnacentral:rRNA from 1 species